rnacentral:misc_RNA from 1 species
UUUCCGUAGGUGAACCUGCGGAAGGAUCAUUAAAAAUAUCCUUAUUGAGAGUGAUUUAAUAAUCAUCCUACCCUUUGUGAAUUUGUUGUUUGAAAUAAUUUUUUUUUGACUGUGGAAUAAAAAAAAAAUUAUUUAUGGUUUUGUCUAUCCCUAAAUUGGUUUGUUUGUUGAAAAACAAUGACAAUCAUCAUUUAGGAAUAGGCUUUCCCUAAAUAAUUGAUUUUUUUUCCAAUGUCUUAAAAGACCUUUUUUUAAAAUUAAACUUUUGUAUUCAUUUGUCUAAAAUAAUUUUUAAAAUAAUUUAAAAACAACUUUUGACAAUGGAUCUCUUGGUUCUCGCAACGAUGAAGAACGCAGCAAAAUGCGAUAAGUAAUGUGAAUUGCAGAAUACGUGAAUCAUCAAAUCUUCGAACGCAUAUUGCACUUUUUAGUUUACUAAAAAAGUAUGUCUGUUUGAGUAUCAGUAAAAUAUUCUCAUAAAAACAUUUUUUGUUUUUAUGGUUAUGAGUGUUUUACAACGAUAAACAAGUUGUUUCACUUUAAAUUCAUUUAAUUUAAGACCAUUUUGGUUUUAAUAAAAAUUGGAUAAAAUUUUCCCGUAAAAAGGAAUAAACUUUCAGUUUUUUAAUUAUUACCAACAACGGUCCGAUUUAAAAGGAAAUUUAUUUAAAUAACUUGAUCUCAAAUCAGAUAAGAGUACCGCUGAACUUAAGCAUAUCAAUAAGCGGAGGAAAAGAAACUAACAAGGAUUCCCUUAGUAACGGCGAGUGAAGCGGGAAGAGCUCAAAUUUGAAAUCUUCAAGGUUCUACCUUGACGAAUUGUAGUUUAAAGAAGUGUUUUCUGUUAGAUGAGUAGGCAAAGUUCCUUGGAAUGGACAUCAUAGAGGGUGAGAAUCCCGUAUUUGGUUAUUCAUUCUAGCUUUGUGAUAACACUUUCAAAGAGUCGGAUUGUUUGGGAAUGCAGUCCAAAAUGGGUGGUAAAUUUCAUCUAAAGCUAAAUAUUGGCGAGAGACCGAUAGCGAACAAGUACCGUGAGGGAAGAUGAAAAAGAACUUUGAAAAGAGAGUUAAACAGUACGUGAAAUUGUCAAAGGGAAGCGUUGACACCAGUGUUGUUUUUCCGAAAAUCAAUUACGAAUGGCUUGAUUUUGUGUGUAUAUUGACCUUAUCAGCUUUCUCACUUUUUCGAGUCUUUCUUAAUGCACUUUUCGGUUAACAAGUCAACAUCAAUUUCUUUUGUUGUAAAAGAGUAUUCGGAAGGUGGCUUUCUUUUCGGAGAAAGUGUUUAUAGCCCUAUACUUCUACAAUCGGAGAGAUUGAGGUCUGCAGCGUAGAUCCUUCGGGGUUAGAUACACUUGUGCUAAGUUGUAGCUUUUCAUAGACAGCUUGUUGACUAUGUUAGUCAUGCGGCUUACUCGCUUAUGCUAUUUACCUACGCUUUAGGAUGUU